GGUGGAGCAUGUGGUUUAAUUCGACGCAACGCGAAGAACCUUACCUGGCCUUGACAUGCAGAGAACUUUCCAGAGAUGGAUUGGUGCCUUCGGGAACUCUGACACAGGUGCUGCAUGGCCGUCGUCAGCUCGUGUCGUGAGAUGUUCGGUUAAGUCCGGCAACGAGCGCAACCCACAUCUUCAGUUGCCAGCAGUUCGGCUGGGCACUCUAGGGAAACUGCCCGUGAUAAGCGGGAGGAAGGUGUGGAUGACGUCAAGUCCUCAUGGCCCUUACGGGUUGGGCUACACACGUGCUACAAUG
rnacentral:rRNA from 1 species